rnacentral:rRNA from 1 species
GAGACGGUUCUCUAUGAGGCCCGUCAUUGGAAUGAGUACAAUUUAAAACCUUUAACGAGGAUCUAUUGGAGGGCAAGUCUGGUGCCAGCAGCUGCGGUAAUUCCAGCUCCAAUGGCGUAUCCCAAUUCUGCUGCUGUUAAAACGCCCGUAGUUGAACUUUCUCCGAGGACGGUGUCUGUCUAAUUGGGCAUGCACGCUGCUCUGAGGAUGUUUUAGCUGGUUUUCACAUGAUGCUCUUUACUGAGUGUCAUGGGUAGCUAGCGAUUUUACUUUGAAAAAAUUAGAGUGCUCAACACAGGCGUUACUGCCUGCAUAGUGGUGCAUGGAAUAAUAGAAUAGGAUCUCGGUUCUAUUUUGUUGGUUUUAGGGGCAUGAGAUAAUGGUUAAGAGGGACGGACGGGGGCAUUUGUAUUGCAGCGUUAGAGGUGAAAUUCUUGGAUCGCUG